AAAUCAUUGUAUACAUAGCUUGAACUAUUUCACUUCUAGUGACAAUCUGGCUUAUUGGAAAAUUCUAAUAAGCUCUUGAUCUGUCUCACUGAAUGUCUUCAAGGAUAAAAUUUAAAGUGACCUUUCAGCUGUUACUUAAAAAAAACCUCUCUGGGAAUGACAUUCUUACUCAAGACUCUAUCUAUUAAUAUCCUCUCUCCUACUUUGUAUGUCCGUGUCCCAAAAUCUUGGUUUCACCUUUUAACACAUGCUCUGAAUAGUAAGAUCAGCUGAUAGAUAAAUUCACAGUGUAAACUUACUUCAUCCUAUCACAUCCUAUCACUUUUUUAAGAAUAGAAGCAGAAUUUGCAAGUUAGUAGCUGGAUAUUUAGAAGAGAUGAAAUGAUAAAUACUUCUCCCACUCUCUAAAGAGAUAUCUCUAAAAUAAAAUCUCUGAAAAGUACCUGCCUGCCUAUAUAUUUUUGGAAGCUGGAACAGCUUUGUCCUGAUGUCAGUCACUUCAGGUCAUCAUGCUCCUUUAUUUAGCAAAGGUCACUCAGAUUUCAGUAGCCAUCAGCUUUAAAUUUGACCUAAGUCUCUGUAGCCAAGAUAAGGUUGGGACAUUGCAAUCAUUUUUCGAAGGAGAAUUUACUAUGGCUUCAAGAUCUUUAAGGUCAAGUUAGCCUAAGACCAGGAACUGGAAAUUUAACA
rnacentral:lncRNA from 1 species